rnacentral:rRNA from 1 species
GACGUAGGUGGCGAACGUUCUCCGGAAUUAUUGGGCGUAAAGGGUGCGUAGGUGGCCUGACAAGUUAUCAGUGGCAAAUCGAGGCUCAACCUCGUGGAAACUGGUAAUACUGUUCGGCUUGAGUACAGGAGAGGUUAACGGAACUCUAUGUGGAGCGGUAAAAUGCACAGAUAUAUAGAAGAACAUCAAUAAAGGCGAAGGCAGUUAACUAUUCUGUUACUGACGCUGAGGCACGAAAGCGUGGGGAGCAAAACGG